CAUUAUACUGCACACAACGAAAAUGCAACAGGACAAAAGAAGAUUCAAAAUUGUAUCCAUCCUAGUUACAAGCAGAUUGAUAGGAUCGAUAGCAGAUCGAGUUCAGAAGUAAUCUCUCAGCCGUAUUCUCACCAACACACCGAAUGAUUGGAUAGAGUUAUAGACAAAUGAUGAACGGUGGAUGCAGAGCCAUACAAGCUAGGCAGUCCAUUUGAUGU
rnacentral:lncRNA from 1 species